AUUGAAACACCAAUUCCCGUAUGAUCACCGAAGUUAAGCAACGUCGAGCCUGGUCAGUAUCUCGAUGGGUGACCCCUUGAGAAUACCAGAUGAUGUCAG